rnacentral:rRNA from 1 species
GACGAACGCUGGCGGCGUGCUUAACACAUGCAAGUCGAACGGAAAGGCCCUGCUUUUGUGGGGUGCUCGAGUGGCGAACGGGUGAGUAACACGUGAGUAACCUGCCCUUGACUUUGGGAUAACUUCAGGAAACUGGGGCUAAUACCGGAUAGGAGCUCCUGCUGCAUGGUGGGGGUUGGAAAGUUUCGGCGGUUGGGGAUGGACUCGCGGCUUAUCAGCUUGUUGGUGGGGUAGUGGCUUACCAAGGCUUUGACGGGUAGCCGGCCUGAGAGGGUGACCGGCCACAUGGGGACUGCGAUACGGCCCAGACGCCUACGGGAGGCAGCAGUCGGGAAUAUUGCACAAUGGGGGCACGCCUGAGACAGCAGCGCCGCGUGCGUGAUGACGGCCUUCGAGUUGUGAACCGCUUUCGCCUGUGCCGAGGAGUGAGUGACGGUAAUGGGUAAAGAAGCACCGGCUAACUACGUG